rnacentral:ncRNA from 23 species
CCGCCUAGCCGGGGGUGCCCGUGCCGCUGAAUCAACAGCGGCGCUGGCUGAGAUCACACCCUAGGAACCUGGCCGGGAAACCGGCGUAGGGAUGGCUCUCGCACUCGCCC